CCCAUUUGAGAGCCGAAUGAGGAAGAUAAUCCAGGUUCCUGGGGAGAACCGUGGAAGGCCCUUGAGUUUACAAGAAACUUCGAGGCCUAAAAUUGCUUGCCCGGGAAAGUACUGGAAUCUUCCUUUGCAUCGUUUAAAUACCCAACCUAUCUCUCCCACUAGAAUCAAGAAAUACAAGAAACGAAGCAAGAAAAAUACGACUCUGAUUCGCCAAAUCCCAACCAACUUAGAAGCAAUUCCAAGAAAUCGAGGAAGAAAAUGUCUCUGAUCCCAAGUUUUUUUGGCAACCGACGAGGCAACAAUUUCGAUUCCAUCUCUGUCGACGCAUAGGAUCCCUUCAAGAAUUUCUCAUCACCUUUUCCAGGAAACUCCGCCUUCGUCAGCACUUGCGUGUUGGACUGGAAAAAGAAACCCCGAAGCCAUUGUGUUCAAGCCGAUCUUCCUGGAUGAAGAAAGAGUGGAAGUGAAGUGGCAGAUCAGAUGGACAGGCUGCUUCAAUCCAGCAGAGAGAGAGUAUGAAAGGUAAGAGAGAAAAUGAUACGUACAAUACAUGGAAGACGGGACGCAAGAUGAUCAUGAGGAGGUUUAGGUUGCCUGAGAAUGUGAAAAUGGAUCAAGUUUAAAGCUUCUAUUGGAACAAUGGGGGUUCCACCGUUACUGUUCCCAAGGAGGAAUGAAGAAUCCUGAUAUCAAGACUAUUCAGGAUUUCUGGUUGAAGUUUGAGUUCUGACGUGAGGAAAUCCUAGCAAUAGUAAUGCUUUAAGGGAUUGUCGUGUGUUGAUUAGAGUUUGCUGUUAAUAUUGGAUGUCGUCCGGUUUUUUUUUUGGCAGUAUUGCAAUUGUGGUUAAAUGAAAAUGUAACAUGUUUAUCUGGUUAAUGAAAUUGAUGCAGUUGUUCUAAUUAUGUGAUCAGCCUACCUAUUUUUCAUUGCAAGUAACUGGUGUUUAUGAUCUUUUUUAUGAAUGUCCUUUCUCCAAUCUGAAGCAAAGGGAAAGCACAUUGGAUCAAGUUCGACACCCAAAUAAAGUUAACAUCAAAGUACUUGCUAAUUCCUAUGUUGUUUACAUGACCAAUAAAGGAUUUGUUAUGAUUAAUUGGAAGCAACUGAAUCAGAGCCAAAAAUUGGCUAAUGUACAUGAAUUAGAGCAUAUCUUUAAUAAUCAAGAAGUACAAGGAAUGUAUCAUAACUCUGAAGAAGUUGCUUUCAGGAUUUGGUCCUUGAAAUCCGAAAGAGAACUAUCAGUUGCAAAGAUGGCUUGGAGAUUCAUAUUGUCUCUGUCAAAUAUGUCGAUAAGCUGUGAAGAAGAUAAACCAUGAUCUUAAUUUUUCUUUUCUUCUUCAGUUUUUCAGCAUCCAAUAGGACAGAUUCAUAGUAUCAUGAUAACAUUGUCAAAUGCCAAUAAGAGCAACAGUAAUUCUUACACAAUCCAUGAAUACAUGCCAUUGGCACAUUUUCAUGUACAUUGUGAAUGGAUUUGGGCAGCAUUUAAGGUGCUUGUGAUUUGUGAGACUGGUUAGUUCACUAUGACCUCUGCUUGCAUCUGAAGCUCUGACAAAUUAGUCAAGGAUAUCCUACAGUUGUUCCUGUAGCCCUUGCUUCAUCAAAGAAUCUCUGUAUCAAAAUGACAAGGUUUUUUUUACCCCUCUAAAAUAGCAGUAACAUCAAGAAGGAAACAAGUCAUACUUAUAAACCUUAUAUCUCCCUCUUCUAAGGCCAACGAAAUGUGGCUCAACUUGAAAUGUAUUGUCUACUUUGAUUUGAAGGUAUUGCAAUUUUGUCCUAUAAAAAAUUUCUCAUAGAUUUAAAUUUAGACUUUUACAUAUAUGAAACCAUAUCCACACAUUUGUCUAAUAUAAGAUUGGAGACGUCACAAGCUUCUUCCUCUCGCCUUUCUUCGUUUCCUCCAAAUUCUCUUUCAAAAAAUAAACUAAGUGGUACUUUUAACUCCUUCAACACACAGGCAUAAGUUGGUUCUUCCACACGACAUAAUUCAACAACUUAUAAAUGAAUACAUAAAUUUUCAUUUCAAAAGAACUAUUCUUUUAUCAAUAACCAUGCAAAUACCAGCAAAACCUCACAAAGUACUUACCUUUUGAAUUUUGAUAAAUCAAGCAAGUAAAUGUAAGACAUGAAAAUCCAUAAUGUUCUAGACAUGCCGGAACGUUUUCUUCAAUCGAUUCAGUAGAUAGACUUUAAAUGAGAUAGUUAAUAUGAAUCAACUAUGUUCAUGAAUGCAUUCUCUUGUAUUUUGAAUUUGGCAAUAAUUUUAGUUAGGCUAAUCCAAAAUAAAGAUUAAGAUUAGGCUCGGAUGUCUUUUUAUCUUAAACAGAAAAAAUGUUUUAAGUCAAUUUCAGUUCUCAAUGGGCUUUAAGUCCUCCAAUUAUCUCUGCAUAAAGGCCAUAUAUAAUAUGAAUACCACGGAGUGUCCUAGAAUAGAAGUGUUUUGGUCUUGUCAUUGGCACAGGCGUGUGGAUAAUGUCCUAGAAAAAUCUUUUCAAUGCUGGAAUCCUCCACAAGCACUAUAAAAUACCAUUUCAGGGUGCUCUUAAUACCCAGACAACGAAAGCAUAGAAAAAUUUAGACAGCUCUCUUAAUUUCCUUACGACCAAAAUUUCUAGCAAUCUCGUUUUUCAUUCCUGAAAAUGUCUCUGAUUCCAAGCUUCUAUGGCCGCCGCAGCAAUGUCUUUGAUCCUUUCUCUCUUGAUAUUUGGGAUCCUUUCAAGGACUUCCCUUUCUCUUCUUCUACCACACGAACUCCAGAAACCUCAGCAUUUGUUAACACCCGAAUCGACUGGAAGGAAACCCCAGAAGCUCAUGUGUUCAAGGCUGAUGUUCCAGGGGCUUAAGAAAGAAGAAGUGAAAGUUGAGGUUGAAGAUGACAGGGUGCUUCAGGUAAGCGGAGAGAGGAACAUAGAGAAGGAAGACAAGAACGACAAGUGGCAUCGCGUGGAACGUAGCAGUGGGAAGUUCAUGAGGAGUUUCAGGUUGCCUGAGAAUGCCAAGAUGGAUCAGAUCAAAGCUUCUAUGGAAAAUGGGGUGCUUACUGUGACUGUUCGAAAAGUGGAAGUUAAAAAGCCUGAUGUCAAGGCUAUAGAGAUUUCUGGUUAAAAAAUUGAACUUGAGUUUUUGAGCCGUCUGGGACAGAUUACUCAAAAUAACUACUUCAAGAGAAAAAGAUGUUUGUGAGUUAUGAAGCGAAUGCCUUUAUCUCUGCCAGAUGAGAGUAUUGUAGCCAUUGUGUGUAAUAAAAUGUAUGCACUACUACGUUUUUGUAUGACGUUUGUGUGAUUCUGAGCUUUGCUAUGUAGAAAAUAAAAAAAAUGUUGUUAGUACUUAGCCUUCUUCCCUGUUUAUAAAAUUGUGGAUUUUGUAUGGAAUAGUUACUCAUUCAUGAAACUUACAUUUGGACAAUAAAUAUACAAUUGCAUGUCAUAAUGUGCAUAAGCAUAAAUGAAAUAUACACGUGCAGGAACAAAAACUCAAAAGUCAAGACUAAUUCCUUGGGCUUAACAGUUUUCUGAUCUUAGUGAACUUUGCAAUCCUUAUCAAGGCCAAAAUCGCAGAGUUUGGUUUAGGAGUUUAGCAAGCUGAUAGCAAAUGACAGCGCUCCCAGUUCCUUGAAUUCAGCCUAAUUGGGGCUAAAACAUAUGCCAUUUGCCAAUGACAGCAUUUAGCAUUUGCAGGGUCGUGCGAGUCAUAUUAAUUAGAUGCAGAUAGUUGAAACUUUAAAGGAAUUUUAACUAAUAAUGGCUUGACUUUAUUCAUUUAGGUUGGUAACAUACAUUUUCUUAAUUCACUAAUGGAAUUGUGGAAAGAAGCCUUCUUAUGGCCUUUUCUAUCUCUAUGCUUACCAAGCUAUUAUCCAUUUCCAAAGCUACUUUCCAUACAUGAUCACAAGUUCUGCAUCCACCCUUUGAUCCCCGAAACAUGGUUGGCAUAUCAUUGCAACUCAUGCACAUAUACUUUCCAGGAUUGAGUACCAGCUACAAAGGCUCCAAAAUCCUCCUAUGGCCUUAUGAGCCGAUACUUCCUUUUGGGGUGCCCCACUUCACAAUUAGCCCUCCAUCUCCAAUAAUCUCAUUGAAAUCUUUAGGCAAUAAUAUGUGAAGAUGGAUAAGGUGAAAGCUUACAUUGAAAAUGGAGUUCUUACUGUUAUUGUUCCUAAGAAGGAAGUGAAGAAACCUGAUGUCAAAGCCAUCGAGAUUUCUGGUUGAAAACUUAAAGGUUUGAAUGAUAUACUUUUUCUUUGGAUUCAAUUAUAUAUUAUUUCACUAUAUAUUCUAAACAUCCUUCUGAAAUUAGUAUUGUAAAUUUGUAAAUGUAACCGUCCUCUAGUUUUCUCUUCAAUCUUCUUUACAGCUAAGUGAGAUUGGUGUUAUUCAGGCCAAGGAAAAACCACCAAGUCCUUUAAAGCAGUAGAGAGUUCGCACUAAAAAAACCUUUGCAACAAUUAUAGAGUCGUAACUAUUUUUGCACAGUGGAAAGGGAUGCUACCAAGCUUUGAAAAGAAGUGGCACAGCUGCCAAUGGAAGUUCAGAACCAUUAUUUCUUUUUGGUACAUGGGGAAUAAAGAAAGCAUAAGGGAUGAGUUUCAUCUCUUAUAAUCAAUCUGAUGAUAUAUGCUUUACUAAAUCAUUCAAAUAAUUGCAGGAAGAAUCUUUCUUUGUCAGUUAUUUUUUAUGAUGUUCUCUCCUUCUACAUCUUCACUAAAAAAAAUUAUUGUGUCACAGGUACUUCUAAUACAAAAAAUAAAUAUUUUUUGUUUUUGUUAAUCUUGUAAAUAUUUUUUUUAAAUUUAUAAUUAUAUCUUUUAAUUAUUUUUAUAAAUAUUAUCGAUUCAUAUUUAAAAUAAAAAAAAAUGAUGCAAAUACCCAACAAAGACAAUACAAUUAUAGUUAUAAACCUCGACAAUAUGCCAGCAGAAGUGAAUGGGCUAGGCGAGGCCCAUUUGAGAGCCGAAUGAGGAAGAAAAUCCAGGUUCGUCAGGAGAAGCCUGGAAGCCCCUUUAGUUUACAAGAAACUUCGACCAUCGGGGCCGAAAUUGCUUGCCCCAGAAAGUACAAGAAUCUUCCUUUCAAUGGUUUAAAUACCCAGUCUAUCCUUUCUCACGCAUCAAGAAAUACAAGAAGCGAAGCAAGAGAAAGGGAAAUACAAGAAGUUGACUCCGAUUCUCAAAAUCCCAAGCAACUUAGAACCAAUUCCAAGAAAUUGAGAAAGAAAAUGUCUCUGAUCCCAAGUUUCUUCGGGAACCGACGAGGCAACAAUUUCGAUCCAUUCUCUGUCGAUGUAUGGGAUCCCUUCAAGAAUUUUCCAUCACUUUCCCAAGAAAACUCCGCCUUCGUCAGCACUCGUGUUGACUGGAAAGAGACCCCGGAAGCCCAUGUGUUCAAGGCUGACCUUCCUGGACUGAAGAAAGAGGAAGUGAAAGUGGAGAUCGAAGAUGACAGGGUGCUUCGAAUCAGCGGGGAGAGGAAUGUUGAGAAGGAAGAGAAGAAUGAUACGUGGCAUCGCGUGGAGCGGAGCUGUGGCAAGUUCUCGAGGAGGUUUAGGUUGCCUGAGAAUGUGAAGAUGGAUCAAAUUUACGCUUCUAUGGAAAAUGGGGUUCUCACCGUAACUAUUCCCAAGGCGGAAUUGAAGAAGCCUGAUAUCAAGACUAUUCAGAUUUCUGGUUGAAGUUUGAGGUUCUGAACAUGAGAAAAUCCUUGCAAUAGUAAUGUUUUAAGGGAUUAUCGUGAGUUAAAUUGGUGUUCGCUGUUAAUAUUGGAAGUUGUCUCAGUCGAUUACGUAAUUACAAUGUGGGUUUUUUUUUUUUCUUGCUAGUAUUACGAUGUGGUUAAAAUGCUGUAAGAAUGUAAUCUGGUAAUGAAAUUAUGAGUUGUUCUUAAUUGUGUGAUCAGCCUACCUAUCUUUUCGUUGAAAUUAACUGUUUUUUAAUGAUCUUUUUAUGGUAAUGUCCUGUCUUAAUCUGAAGCAAAGGGAAAACACAUAGAAUCAAUGUUCAAAAACCCAGGAUAGAAAUUUAAGAAAUCGAAGUACUAGCAAAUUCUUAUGUUGUUUACAUGACCUAUAAAGGAUUUUUUAUGAUUAAUUGGAAGCAACUGAAUCAGAACCAAAAAUUGGCUAAUAUGGGCAAUCAUUACCUGAUUUAGAGCACACUGUUAAUAAUCAAGAGGUUCAAGGGAUGUAUCUUUGUUUGGACUGGAACUGAAAAGUACAAGGGAUGUAUCUGAACUCUGAAGAAGUUGCUUUCAGGAUUUGGUCCUUGAAAUCCGAAAGAGAACUAUCAGUUGCAAAGAUAGAUUGGAGAUUCAUAUUGUCUCUGGAAACUAUGUUGAUAAGAUGUGAAGAAGAUAGCCCAAGAUCUUAAUUUUUUUUUUCUUUUUCAGUUUUUCAGCCUCCAAUAGGACAGAUUCAUAGUAUCAUAAUUACAUUGUUAAAUGCCUAUAUAAGCAACAGUAAUUCAUAUACAAUCCAUGGAAACAUGCCAUUGGCACAUUUUCAGAUACAUUGUGAAUGGAUUGGGGCAGCAUUUAAGGUGCUUGUGACUUGUGAGACUGGUUAGGCCACUAUGACCUCUGCUUGCAUAUGAAGCUCUGACAAAGUAGUCAAGGAUAUCCUACAGUUGUUCCUGUAGCCCUUGCUUCAUCAAAGAAUCUCUGCAUCAAAAUGACAAGGCUUUUUUCCCCCCACUCUAAAAUAACAAUAACAUCAACAAGGAAACAAGUCAUACAUAUAAACCUUAGAUCUCCCUCUUCUAAGGCCAAUGAAAUGUGGCUCAAUUAGUGGAAGAAAAUCUGUGUAGCUUCUUCCUCUAACCUCUCUUCUUUUCCACCAAAUCCUCUUUCGAAAAACAAACAAGUGGUACUUUUAACCCCUUCAACACUUGGGCAUAAGUUGGUUCUUCCACAUGACAUAAUUCGACAACUUAUAAAUGAAUACAUAAAUUUUUUGUAUCAGAAAAAAGGAUUCUUUGAUCAAUAACCAUGCAAAUACCAGCAAAACCUCAUAAAGUAAUUACCUUUUGGCUUUUGAUAAAUCAAGCAAGUAAAUGUAAGACAUGGAAAAUCCAUAAUGUUCUAGGCAUGCCAAAACGUUUUAUUUAAUCAAUUCAGUAGAUAGAUUUCAUAUGAGAUAGAUAAUAUGUAUUAAUUAUUUUCACGAAUGCAUUCUCUUGUAUUUUGAAUUUGGCAAUAAUUUCAGUUAGGCUAGAUCCAAACUUCCAUUUCAGUUUUCAUUGGGCUUCAAGUCCUCCAAUUAUCUCUGUCUAAAGCCCAUAUAGAAUAUGAAUAUUCCGGAGUGUCCAAUGUACUGGAAAAUGAUUUAAACCAAAAAAUAGAAAAAUCUUCUGAAUGCUAGAAUCGUCCCUAGUACUAUAAAAAAACCUUUCAGAGUGCUCUCAACACCCAGACAAACAAAGCAAAGCAUAGAAUUAAGGUAGCUCUCUCGUUUUCCUUACUACAGAAUAUUCUUCUAAUCUCGUUUUCCAUUCCUGAAAAUGUCUGAUUUCAAGCUUCUUUGGCCGUCGCAGCAAUGUCUUUGAUCCUUUCUCUCUUGAUGUUUGGGAUCCUUUCAAGGACUUCCCUUCUCUUCUUUCUCAUUCACCACACUAACUCCAGAAAUUUCAGCAUUUGUCAACACCCGAAUCGACUGGAAGGAAACCCCAGAAGCUCACGUGUUCAAGGCUGAUGUGCCAGGGCUUAAGAAAGAAGAAGUGAAAGUUGAGGUUGAAGAUGACAGGGUGCUUCAGAUAAGCGGAGAGAGGAACAUAGAGAAGGAAGACAAGAACGACAAGUGGCAUCGCGUGGAACACAGCAGUGGGAAGUUCAUGAGAAGGUUCAGGUUGCCUGAGAAUGCCAAGAUGGAUCAGAUCAAAGCUAUGGAAAAUGGGGUGCUUACUGUGACUGAUCCAAAGGUGGAAGUUAAAAAGGCUGUAGAGAUUUCUGGUUAAAAAAUUGAACUUGAGUUUCUAAGCCGUCUAUUUCCUGCGACAGAUUACUCAAAAUAACUACUUCAAGAGAAAAAGAUGUUUGCGAGUAAUGAAGCGAGUGCCUUUUUCUCUGCCAGAUGAGAGUAUUGUACCCAUUGUGUGCAAUUAAAUACAUGUACUACAAUGUUUUCGUAUGAAGUUUGCGUGGUUCUGAGUUUUGCUUUGUAGAAGCUAAAAAAAAUUUUGUUGAUACUUAGCUUUCUUCCCUGUUUACAAAAUUGUGGAUUUUGUAUGGAAUAGUUACUCAUUCAUGAAACUUACAUUUGCACGAUAAAUAUACAAUUGCAUGUCAUAAUGUGCAAAAGCAUAAAUGAAAUAUACACGUGCAGGAACAAAAACUCAGAAGUCAAGACUAAUUCCUUGGGCUUAACAUUUUUCUGAUGUUAGUGAACUUGCAAUCUAUGGCAAAGGCCAAAAUCAGAGUUUGGUUUAAGAGUAAUAAGCCGAUACCAGAUGACAGCGCUCAAUUCAGCCUAUUGGGGCUAAAACAUAUGCCAUUUGCCAAUGACAACAUUUUGCAUUUGCAGGGUCAUGUGAGUCAUAUUGAUUAGAUGUAGAUAGUUGAAACUUUAGAGGAAUUUUAACCAAGAAUGGCUUGACUUUAUUCAUUUAUUUUCUUAAUUCUCUCAUGGAAUUGUAGAAAGAAGACUUCUUAUGGCCUUCAUCUAGCAUAAGCAUUCUUAUGGAACUUUUCUAUCUAUAUGCUUACCAAGCUAUUGACCAUUCCCAAACGUACUUUCCAUAUAUUGGUCACAAGUUUUCCAUCCACCCUUUGAUUCCCGAAACUUGGUUGACAUAUCAUUGCAACUCAUGCACAAAUACUUUCCAGGAUUGAGUUCCAGCCAUAAUGGCUCCCAAAACCUCGUAUGCCUUUAUGAGCUGAUACUUCCUCUUGGUGCCCCACUUCACGAUUAACCCUCCAUCUCUAAUAAUUUCAUUGAAAUAUUUAGGCAAUGAUAUGUGAAGAUGGAUAAGGUGAAAGCUUCCAUUGAAAAUUGAGUUAUUACUGUUACUGUUCCUAAGAAGGAAGUGAAGAAACCUGAUGUCAAAGCCAUCGAGAUUUCAGGUUGAAAACUUGAAGGCUUGAAUGUUUCGAUAUAUUUUUUCUUUGGAUUCAAUUAUAUAUUGCUUCACUAUAUGUCCUAACAUUGUUCUUAAAUUAGUAUUGUAAAUUUGUCAAUGUAACCUUCCUUUAGUUUUCUCUUCAAUCUUCCUUACAGUCAAGUGAGAUGGUGUUAUUCAGGCCAAGGAAAAACCACCAAGUAAAGUCCUUUAAAACAGUAGAGAACUUGCACUAAUAAAACCUUUGCAACAAUUAUAGAGUUGUUAACUAUUUUUGCACAGUGGAAAGAGAUGCUACCAAGCUUUGAAAAGAAGUGGCACAGCUGCCAAUUGAAGUUCAGAACCAUUAUUUCUUUUUGGUACAUGGGGAAUAAAGAAAGCAUAAGGGAUUAAUUUCAUCUCUUAUAAUUAAUCUGAUGAUAUAUGCUUUACUAAAUCAUUCAAAUAAUUGCAGGAAGAACCUCUCACUGUCAGUCAGUCUUCAUUAUGUUCUCUCCUUUUACAUCUUGAUUAAAAAAAAUUAUUAUAUCACAAUUCAUAUACAUUUCUAAUACAAAAAAUAUAUAUUUAUUUGUAAAUCCUGUAAAUAAUUUUUUAAUUUAUAAUUAUAUCUUUUAAUUAUUUUUAUAAAUAUUAUCGAUUCAUGUUUAAAAUUAAAAAAAAUUAUACAACUACCCAACAAAGGCAAUACAAUUAUAGUUAUAAACCUUGGCAAUAUGCCGGCAGAAGUAAAUGGGCUAGGGGAGGCCCAUUUGGGAGCCGAAUGAGGAAGAAAAUCCAGGUUCCUCAGGAGAAGCCUGGAAGUCCCUUGAGUUUACAAGAAACUUCAUCCAUCGAGGCCCAAAAUUGCUUGCCCCAGAAAGUACAUGAAUCUUCCUUUCAAUCGCUUAAAUACCCAGUCCAAAUACAAGAAGCGAAGAAAGAGACAGGGAAACACAAGAAGUUGACUCGAUUCUCAAAAUCCCCAAUCAACUUAGAAGCAAUUCCAAGAAAUUGAGAAAGAAAAUGUCUCUGAUCCCAAGUUUCUUCGGCAACCGGCGAGGCAACAAUUUCGAUCCAUUCUCUGUCGAUGUAUGGGAUCCCUUCAAGAAUUUCCCAUCACUUUCCCAAGAAAACUCCGCCUUCGUCAGCACUCGUGUUGACUGGAAAGAGACCCCGGAAGCGCAUGUGUUCAAGGCCGACCUUCCUGGACUGAAGAAAGAGGAAGUGAAAGUGGAGAUCGAAGAUGACAGGGUGCUUCAAAUCAGCGGGGAGAGGAAUGUUGAGAAGGAAGAGAAGAAUGAUACGUGGCAUCGCGUGGAGCGGAG
rnacentral:lncRNA from 1 species